rnacentral:rRNA from 1 species
GGCAUAAGUAGCGAGAGGUGAGUGAGAAUCUCACCCGUCGAAAACCUAAGGUUUCCUGAGGAAGGCUCGUCCACUCAGGGUAAGUCGGGGCCUAAGCUCAGGCCGAAAGGCGUAGGCGAUGGACAACAGGUGGAAAUUCCUGUACUAGUCUGAGGCGCUUGAGAGAAGUAGUGACGCAGGAGGAUAAGUUGAGCGUGCCGUUGGUUGAGCACGUCCAAGCAUAAAGGGAGAAGAUAUAGGAAAAUCCGUAUCUUCAUUAAUCCUGAAAUGUGAUGGGGAUCGAAAAACAAGUAGAGAAGCGACUGACUCCACACUGCCAAGAAAAGCUGCUAUCGAGCCAAAGAUUACCCGUACCGUAAACCGACACAGGUAGGUGAGGAGAGAAUCCUAAGACGAGCGGAAGAACCUUUGUUAAGGAACUCGGCAAAAUAGCCCCGUAACUUCGGGAGAAGGGGUGCCAGAGAAAUC